GAUGUGUACAUCUUCAUAGGAAUACAUUGGACUCCAUGGGUGCUACAGAAAUGAAAUGUGCUUUGCAGUGUCUGUGCUGAGAGUUCAAGAUGUAUUUUUUGAUAUCAUUAUCAGUCUAGAGAGUUUUCAGUCUUCUGUAAAGGGUCACCAAGAUGUCGAUUCAAGAAAAGUCUCUAUAGGCUGCCCAACACAAAAACCAGGCAAUCACGAAAAUGCGUGGCUGGAAGCUUUGUAACCGCUUUUUUCUCUCUGGAGGAUUGAUAGUUCAGUCCUUUCAGAUGUGGAUCAGACAUAUAUACUCUAUGGAGUGUGAAGUGGGAAGAAGGAAAGACAAUAGGAAAAAUGAUCUUCAAUGACAUUAGCAAUCAGCACAAUUUACAAGAGUUAAAGUUACCAUAGGAACACAGAGAAGAUGAAAGUUUACUGCCAGAAUUAUGCCCCCAACUUUGCUAUGAAGACCAAGGCACUGUGGAAUUGUGUGUCUACGUUUGGAA
rnacentral:lncRNA from 1 species